AUAAACCAGCAGCUAGAUCACUAAUAAAGCACAGUUGGAUCUUUGUAAUUGGGCAAGAACUAUCUGCGAAUUGUUUCAAAAUGGUGAAAGUGAAAUAAUUCUGUUGCGGGUGCUCCCUUCGAAGUGGAACGUAUAUUGCAGCAUGGGGUUUACUAGUAUGGAGUUUUUAUCUAUUUAUAGUGGCUGUGUAUUAUUUUAUGUUGAUUCAACGUUGGGCUCCCAAACAAACUUCUUGGUUACCGUAUUUAUUUGCCUAUGACGUCACAAGGACCACUAUUGGAAUGACAGUUUCCCUAAUAGCGAUAUGGGCACUUCAAAAGAACAAAUUCAAAUUUUUAAGCGGUCUUCUAUGGUACCUAUGUUACUCCAUAACUUUUACAAUACUUCAGGAGGUAUUGUUAAUAUUCGCGUUGGAGGUGGAAAUAAUUUUAUCGGCGUUAAUUCGUUUUUUAGUACCUAUCUUGAGUCUAGGAGAAGUGAAGACAUCGCAUUGAUUUUCUUCAUUUAUUUAUUGGGAAUAGGAGCUGGAUCUUAUUUUGCAUUGAUUGUGAAAUCCUACCGAGAUUAUUCGUUAAGAAAUGAAGCUCAAAAUGUUCAAUAUGUCGGCCCAGAUGCAACAACUGUUGGGUAUAUAAGAUCAUAGUUAAAUACAUAGAUACGUACCUACUUAACUAAUUAAUUUAAGUACAAUUUAUACAAUCUAUUGUGUUGCUUCAAUAUUCAAUGUAAUUUGGAUGUACAAGUUGAUGAAAAAUCAAAUUAUAUUUUAUCAUAGUCAUAUGCUAAUCAUUUGCCAUUUGUGUUUGUGAAUGUGUUUUUUAAAAAAAUUAAUUUUUGUGUACAGCCUAUCCAUUUUUGAAAAUAAAAGUGUUUUGUCAAUUA